rnacentral:rRNA from 1 species
GAUGAACGCUGGCGGCGUGCCUAAUACAUGCAAGUCGAGCGAACAGACGAGGAGCUUGCUCCUCUGACGUUAGCGGCGGACGGGUGAGUAACACGUGGAUAACCUACCUAUAAGACUGGGAUAACUUCGGGAAACCGGAGCUAAUACCGGAUAAUAUAUUGAACCGCAUGGUUCAAUAGUGAAAGACGGUUUUGCUGUCACUUAUAGAUGGAUCCGCGCCGCAUUAGCUAGUUGGUAAGGUAACGGCUUACCAAGGCAACUAUGCGUAGCCGACCUGAGAGGGUGAUCGGCCACACUGGAACUGAGACACGGUCCAGACUCCUACGGGGGGCAGCAGUAGGGAAUCUUCCGCAAUGGGCGAAAGCUUGACGGAGCAACGCCGCGUGAGUGAUGAAGGUCUUCGGAUCGUAAAACUCUGUUAUUCGGGAAGAACAAAUGUGUAAGUAACUAUGCACGUCUUGACGGUACCUAAUCAGAAAGCCACGGCUAACUACGUG